UACGGAGGAUCCGAGCGUUAUCCGGAUUUAUUGGGUUUAAAGGGUGCGUAGGCGGCCUUUUAAGUCAGCGGUGAAAGUCUGUGGCUCAACCAUAGAAUUGCCGUUGAAACUGGGGGGCUUGAGUAUGUUUGAGGCAGGCGGAAUGCGUGGUGUAGCGGUGAAAUACAUAGAUAUCACGCAGAACCCCGAUUGCGAAGGCAGCCUGCCAAGCCAUGACUGACGCUGAUGCACGAAAGCGUGGGGAUCGAACAGG
rnacentral:rRNA from 1 species